UGUAGGGUGACGAAACAGGCAGCCGUGCCCUCCUUUCUCGGGGGUGGAGGUUCUGGGAUAAAGCCAAUCGGUCUAACCACUCCGUGGAGGUUCGAAUCCUUCUCCUACAGCCA
rnacentral:tRNA from 1 species